ensembl:lncRNA
GGGGUGGGGGCGGGGUCUGUCGGGGCGGGGGUUGGGGGCGGGGUCUGUUGGGGGCGGGGGGCUCUCCCCACCGGGCCCCGCCUGGCAGAGGAGCGGCGCGUCGGUGAUCGUGAACAUUCAGGGGAGCGGGCCCCUGGACCCCCGGAGGGUCGAACCCCCCCCCGGGGGCCCCGAGGACCCCGAGGGGGGGUCCGGGGCCCCGGCGCUGCUCGCCCCGGCGCUCCCGGGAGAUGAGGACGUGGCCGCCGGGACCCCCGACGAGAAGGUGACCGUCACCCAGAUCCUUCCAGAUGUUUACAGAAGUUCUUAUUGGCAAAAUUCCGAGGAUACGUUGAAUAUUGACCCAUUGCCUUUAAAGAAGAGAUCCGAGGAGAGCUGAGGGAACAGGGGUUCCUGGGGUUCGGACCGACUGCCGUUCGGGGCGGUGCACUCGUGUUCAGGCUGCAGACAGGCGGAGCGUGCGAAGCUCCAACCUCAUCACCUAUAUUAUGACUUCCAAGCAGCUACUUGUACCAGAGGGCUCCGCCUCCGUCUGUCGUCCCACACUGAACACCACUGUUACCGGGCCGCGCACCGGCCUCCUUUUCUAACAAAGCCUUUUGUACGACCGCCUCCUCCAGUGUUGAGCCGGCGCAUGCCCCGUCCGUCCCGUGCGUCCUGUGUCUCAGCAGGCUCCUCUCCCCGGCCCCCUCCCAGAGGAGCGGCGCGAUGAGGAGCCUCAGUAGAGUAGCACGUGCUGUUAGCCGUCUUUCUGUCCUCGUAGUUCGGAGUGUAGCCGACUGGUUCUAUUUUUAUAUCCUGACGCUCCUGGUGUGUGUGUUGUAUCAUGAAGAGGUGUCGGUGUACAACGUUACAGAGCUGUGUACAAUGAUGUGCUCACGCACGUGAGGUCAAGAGGUCCUGAGCUACUAUUUAUCGCAUGUCACAUAGGAUGGCCUCAACUAUAAUAACUAUACUAUCACUGGUCUCGUUGAAGUUUCUCUUUGAUGAAUGUUCGAAAUGUCUUUAUGAAAAAUGCCUUUUUAUUUGGACUGUAUUUACAAUAAAUAUGGAAACAUGAUUACCUGACCUCUGUUUCUAGAUGUUUCUUAUAACAAAAAGACCGUCAAUAGUUACCACUGUUCUUCAAUGACACCCCAUUAAAACUCUUAGUCACUUCCUCCUCCAGUCCCUACAGGAUGCAGAGACCUGAAGAGAGGUCAGAGGUUAUAGAUAUGACCUCCAGUCCCUACAGGAUGCAG